rnacentral:misc_RNA from 1 species
GAUGAAGAACGCAGCGAAAUGCGAUAAGUAAUGUGAAUUGCAGAAUUCAGUGAAUCAUCGAAUCUUUGAACGCACAUUGCGCCCGCCAGUAUUCUGGCGAGCAUGCCUGUUCGAGCGUCAUUUCAACCAUCAAGCCCCAGGCUUGUGUUGGAGCCCUGCGGCUGCCGCAGCCUCCCAAAACCAGUGGCGGGCUCGCUAUCACACCGAGUGCAGUAGUUUACUCUUCGCUCAGGGCGUGUGGCGGGUGCUAGCCGUGAAACCCCCAACUUCUCAAGGUUGACCUCGGAUCAGGUAGGAAUACCCGCUGAACUUAAGCAUAUCAAUAGCGGAGGA